GGUCUUAUGGUGUACCUGGUUAACAUAGUUCCCUGUCACGGAACAGCACCGAGUUCGAUUCUCGGUAAGACCG
rnacentral:tRNA from 1 species